UCAUAUUAUAUUAUGAUUUUAUUAGCACUUUUCCUCUUAUAGACAUCGUCUAUUUAGUAUCACUUUUCAUCUCUAUUACUGGAGUUAGAUAACUCCGGAUUCUUAUUCUUAUAGCUCUUUAAGAUUCUUCUUUGAAUCUUCUUUAUCUUUCUCUUUACUUAGUGAUGAAUUUCCAUAAAUUCACCUCUUAUCGCUUAAACUCUAUUUGAGUUUAUUACUUAUCAUCUUUGUGGUUAUAGCCUAAGGUACACCUACCUAAGGUUUAUAACCUACGGCUUUGAU
rnacentral:lncRNA from 1 species